AUUGUCCUACGGGAGGCAGCAGUGAGGAAUAUUGGUCAAUGGGCGGUAGCCUGAACCAGCCAAGUAGCGUGAAGGAUGAAGGAUCUAUGGAUUGUAAACUUCUCUUAUAAAGGAAUAAAGUGAGGCACGUGUGCCUUUUUGUAUGUACUUUAUGAAUAAGGAUCGGCUAACUCCGUGCCAGCAGCCGCGGUAAUACGGAGGAUCCGAGCGUUAUCCGGAUUUAUUGGGUUUAAAGGGAGCGUAGAUGGGUUGUUAAGUCAG
rnacentral:rRNA from 1 species